UACGUAGGGUGCAAGCGUUGUUCGGAAUCACUGGGCGUAAAGAGAGCGUAGGCGGGAUUGUAAGUUAGAAGUUUAAUACAUGGGCUUAACCCGUGGCUGGCUUUUAAUACUGCAGUUCUUGAGUAUGGGAGAGGGCGAUGGAAUUCCAGGUGUAGCGGUGGAAUGCGUAGAUAUCUGGAAGAACACCAGUAGCGAAGGCGGUCGCCUGGCCUAAUACUGACGCUGAGGCUCGAAAGCUAGGGGAGCAAAC
rnacentral:rRNA from 1 species